rnacentral:rRNA from 1 species
ACGAACGCUGGCGGCGUGCCUAAUACAUGCAAGUCGAACGGUCUUUCUAUGGAAGCUUGCUUCCACUGAGAAGAUAGUGGCGAACGGGUGAGUAACACGUGGGUAACCUGCCCAUAAGAGGGGGAUAACAUCCGGAAACGGGUGCUAAUACCGCAUAGUUUUCUUGAUCGCAUGAUUGAGAAAGGAAAGACGGCCUUUGUGCUGUCGCUUAUGGAUGGACCCGCGGCGUAUUAGUUAGUUGGUGAGGUAAUGGCUCACCAAGACGAUGAUACGUAGCCGACCUGAGAGGGUGAUCGGCCACAUUGGGACUGAGACACGGCCCAAACUCCUACGGGAGGCAGCAGUAGGGAAUCUUCCGCAAUGGACGAAAGUCUGACGGAGCAACGCCGCGUGAGUGAAGAAGGUUUUCGGGAAUCGUAAAACUCUGUUGUCAGAGAAGAACAAGUUGGAGAGUAACUGCUCCAGCCUUGACGGUAUCUGACCAGAAAGCCACGGCUAACUACGUGCCAGCAGCAGC